rnacentral:rRNA from 1 species
UGCCGCGUGAGUGAUGAAGGUCUUCGGAUCGUAAAGCUCUGUGGGAAGGGACGAAAAAGCCUAACCUAAUACGUUAGGUCUUGACGUACCUUCUUAGCAAGCACCGGCUAACUCCGUGCCAGCAGCCGCGGUAAUACGGAGGGUGCAAACGUUGCUCGGAAUUAUUGGGCGUAAAGCGUGCGCAGGCGGUUAUGUAAGACAGAGGUGAAAUCCCCGGGCUCAACCUGGGAACUGCCUUUGUGACUGCAUAGCUGGAGUGCGGCAGAGGGGGAUGGAAUUCCGCGUGUAGCAGUGAAAUGCGUAGAUAUGCGGAGGAACACCGAUGGCGAAGGCAAUCCCCUGGGCCUGCACUGACGCUCAUGCACGAAAGCGUGGGGAGCAAACAGGAUUAGAUACCCUGGUAGUCCACGCCCUAAACGAUGUCAACUGGUUGUUGGGUCUUCACUGACUCAGUAACGAAGCUAACGCGUGAAGUUGACCGCCUGGGGAGUACGGCCGCAAGGUUAAAAACUCAAAGGAAUUGACGGG